rnacentral:rRNA from 1 species
CAGCAGCCGCGGUAAUACAGAGGAUGCAAGCGUUAUUCGGAAUGAUUGGGCAUAAAGCGUCUGUAGGUGGCUUUUCAAGUCAGUCGUCAAAUCCCUGGGCUCAACCCUGGACAAGCAGUGGAAACUACCAAGCUGGAGUAUAGUAGGGGCAGAGUGAAUUUCCGGUGGAGCGAUGAAAUGCGUUGAGAUCAGAAAGAACACCAACGGCGAAAGCACUCUGCUGGGCCGACACUGACACUGAGAGACGAAAGCUAGGGGAGCAAAUGGGAUUAGAUACCCGCGUAGUCCCUGUCUCUUAUAC